UAACUUGAGAGUUUGAUCCUGGCUCAGAAUCAACGCUGGCGGCGUGCCUUAUACAUGCAAGUCGUACGCGAAAGUGGCCUUCGGGCCGCGAGUAGAGUGGCAAACGGGUGAGUAUCGCGUGGGUGACCUGCCUUCGAGUGGGGGAUAACCUUCCGAAAGGGGGGCUAAUACCGCAUAACAUCCCGCCCUUGGAUGGGUGGUGAUCAAAGCCGGGGAUCUUCGGACCUGGCGCUU
rnacentral:rRNA from 1 species